UACGUAGGUGGCAAGCGUUGUCCGGAUUUACUGGGUGUAAAGGGCGUGUAGGCGGGGCUGCAAGUCAGAAGUGAAAUCUAUGGGCUUAACCCAUAAACUGCUUUUGAAACUGUAGCUCUUGAGUAUCGGAGAGGCAGGCGGAAUUCCUAGUGUAGCGGUGAAAUGCGUAGAUAUUAGGAGGAACACCAGUGGCGAAGGCGGCCUGCUGGACGACAACUGACGCUGAGGCGCGAAAGCGUGGGGAGCAAACAGG
rnacentral:rRNA from 1 species